GAGCCCAGGAAGUUGAGGCUACAGUGAGCUGUGAUGGUGCCACUGCACUCCAGCCUUGUCAGUAAUCAAAAAACUCCUGACAAGGAAAAGUCCUCGGCCUGAUGGUUUCACUGGUACAUCCUACUAAGCAUUUAAAGAAGAACUGGCUGGGUUUGGCCGGGCGCGGUGGCUCACGCCUGUAAUCCCAGCACUUUGGGAGGCUGAGGUGGGCAGAUCAUCUUAGGUCAAGAGUUUGAGACCAUGAACAAAGGUGCGCAGAUGAGAGCACCGAUUAACCAAAAGUUGAUAGAAACUGGAGAAAGAGAACUCCUCAAAGAGUUGCUGAGAACUAAAUUAAUUGAAUGUGGCUGGAAAGAUCAGUUGAAGGCACGCUGUAAAGAGGUCAUUAAAGAAAAAGGACUAGAACACGUUACUGUUGAUGACGUGGUGGCUGAAAUCACUCCAAAAGGCAGAGCCCUGGUACCUGACAGUGUAAAGAAGGAGCUCCUACAAAGAAUAAAAACAUUCCUUGCUCAGCAUGCCAGCCUUUAAGAUUGAAUUAGAUUGUGUUGUUGUGGUUUUAUUUCUGAAAGUGAAACUUGCCAUAAAUUAGAAAACAGUUUCCCAAAAUAAAAUCCUUUUUUGUAUGAUGGUA